GAGGGCCGCACACGUGUUUUACUCCAACUGUUUGCAACUUUUGAAACCCGGGCAAUCUGGCUUUGGCAUUUGAAAACCAUUUCAAACAGGAGAGAUUCCAAGAAAUGAGGGGGGUACGUUGAAACGAUGAAGAAAGGAUGGACACAGCAGUCGAGGUUGAGAGGUAGGCUCAGGGGUCCACCCUUGUGUGACCUUGAGCAAGCUUGGUGACCUCCGCGCCUCCGUUUCUCGCUGAUCAAAUAAGUAGAACAAGACCUCACAGGGUUCUUGGAAGUAUUACGUGGGAAAACACUUAUAAAGUGGCAAAUAAUAAAAACUCAUUAUAUUCUUAA